AUGAAAAGUUUAUACUUAGAUUUUCUGCAGCACGUGCCUAAAGUUGAGUGGGGCGACAUCCGGUCUCCGGGGUCCACGGUAGCUGAGCUCAGCCACUUCUUCGACGAACUCCUCCUCUCUUCUUCCUCUCACACCAGAUCAGCUGAUGUAGAGGGAGGAAGAGAGUUGCUGAGUAUAAUCAAGAAUCUCAAGUUUGACACUUAUUUUGUCCAAGUGGUUGUCGUUGUCGCUAUCACCUGA